rnacentral:rRNA from 1 species
UAGGUAGGGGGCUAGCGUUGUGCGGAAUCAUUGGGCGUAAAGCGCGUGUAGGCGGUCCGGUAAGUCCGCUGUGAAAGUCGGGGGCUCAACCCUCGGAUGCCGGUGGAUACUGUCGGGCUUGAGUACGGAAGAGGCGAGUGGAAUUCCUGGUGUAGCGGUGAAAUGCGCAGAUAUCAGGAGGAACACCAAUUGCGAAGGCAGCUCGCUGGGACGUUACUGACGCUGAGACGCGAAAGCGUGGGGAGCAAACAGG